CGCGUAGGUGGCCCGGUCAGUUCGUGGUGAAAGCGCGGGGCUCAACUCCGCGUCGGCCAUGAAUACUGCUGGGCUUGAGCACUGCAGAGGCAGGCGGAAUUCCGGGUGUAGCGGUGGAAUGCGUAGAGAUCCGGAAGAACACCGGUGGCGAAGGCGGCCUGCUGGGCAGUGGCUGACACUGAGGCGCGACAGCGUGGGGAGCAAACA
rnacentral:rRNA from 1 species